CCAGCAGCCGUUUCCGCUUUCGUUAAAGCAACAGAGUCUCCAAAUUACCCUCCGUGCGCGGCGUUUGCCGCCGGCCCCUCGCUGCCCGCUCCAGCCUCUGCCCGGCUCCGGAUUCGGGGCUCUCCGGCCGCGCCGGCCCGGGAGGCCGCGUCCUGGCGGUGUCCUUUGCAAAUGGAUUUACAGCGAACCAGGAAAACACGAGGCGUCAGGCCCGGUUUGCGCGAAAGCUUGCAUGUAAGGCGUGCGUUGGCUAGCCUAAAGGACAAUUGAAAGCAGGCACCAAAAACCCGGCUUCAUACAAACAAACAAAAUCUGACACCGGCUCUGUAAAACCUGCCGUUUGAGAAACAAUCUAAAAACGUAGCGAUCUUUGUUUGCACGGCUCCAAACGUUAGCUGGGCGAGUAACUGCUUUAUACCCAAGGAAAAAAAUGCCAGCUUUCUUUCUGCCCCAGACUGGAAAACGUGAUUACAAAUAAAUAAAACGACCCACCCUUUUAAAACAACAUAAAAGCAUAACCCGCUGCGACUGGCCUCAAAGGGAAGACGGCAAAGAUGAAUCCCCCGCAUGGUACUUUCUUGGGCGCCCUAAAAAAACAAAAAAACCAACUGACCCAAAUCUUUUGUUUCCGUUUUUCCGAUCGCUGGAAUCGGCCCCUACAGUUGGGCUGCAGAUUCAGAGUAAAAAGUAUAUUUGUGCUAGUAAAAAAAAA